rnacentral:tRNA from 1 species
UCCCUUGUGGUUCAAAGGCAGAACGCCGCACCGUUAAUGCGGAAAUCCAGGUUCGAGUCCUGGUGGGGGAG